rnacentral:rRNA from 1 species
UACGGGGGAUGCGAGUGUUAUCCGGAUUUAUUGGGUUUAAAGGGUGCGUAGGCGGGUUAUCAAGUCAGCGGUAAAAUCGUGGAGCUCAACUCCAUCCAGCCGUUGAAACUGAUGAUCUUGAGUGGGCGAGAAGUAUGCGGAAUGCGUGGUGUAGCGGUGAAAUGCAUAGAUAUCACGCAGAACUCCGAUCGCGAAGGCAGCAUACCGGCGCCCGACUGACGCUGAAGCACGAAAGCGUGGGUAUCGAACAGG